CUGAGAAAUAUUUCCAAGAAAACCCAGACAUACCUGUUCACUACCAGCUAUACGAGGACACCCAAAAGGAUCCAGUUGCAACGGUGCGCGCUUUAUCCGACUUUCUGGGUCUCCAAAGGGAUGAUGAUCUGUGUUGUGCUAUUGCUGAUGAAUGUCACUUCUCCAAGAUGAAAGUGAAAAAAGAAGCCUACGCAAUGAAGGUUGAUGGUGCAAAUAAUCUUUACGGAAAAGGGAUCUCUAGGGAGUGG